ACCCCGCCGGCGGGCUGCUGCCCCACCGCCGCCUGGACGGCGUAGCCUGCCACCGCGCCUACACCAUGGGCUGCCAGGACGGCUUCCGCUGGUGCCACGGCUCCUGCUGCCGCCACGACUCCUUCUUCUACUAUCCCGACUUGCAGCCGCAGGAGAGGGUUACUAGUCCACACCGCUCACAAACAAACAACCUUGUGAAUUUCGGCGUGCGGCGUGUGGUUGCAAGUGGUCCCAUCGACUGGACGAAGAUAUUGGAUGGGACGUUUGUCAUCAUCGAGUAGUAACGCGUCAAGAAGCGGGAAGUGGCGGUGGUGAAUGAAACAUUGUUUCUCACAGAUCUCCAGUGCUUUCUAUUGAAUUGCAGAAUAGCUGCUGGAUACUUAUAGUACAGGACUGAUGUGAUAUAUUCUCUGUUAAAUCAAGAGAGUCGGAAACAGUGUCGAGUAUCCAAAUCUCAACAAAUAAAACGGCAUACUGACUGA